rnacentral:rRNA from 1 species
AUUGAACGCUGGCGGCAUGCCUUACACAUGCAAGUCGAACGGUAACAGGUCUUCGGAUGCUGCCGAGUGGCGAACGGGUGAGUAAUACAUCGGAACGUGCCCGAUCGUGGGGGAUAACGAGGCGAAAGCUUUGCUAAUACCGCAUACGAUCUACGCAUGAAAGCGGGGGAUCUUCGGGCCUCGCGCGGGCGGUGCGGCCGAUGGCAGAUGAGGUAGUUGGUGGGAUAAAAGCUUACCAAGACGACGAUCUGUAGCUGGUCUGAGAGGAUGAUCAGCCACACUGGGACUGAGACACGGCCCAGACUCCUACGGGAGGCAGCAGUGGGGAAUUUUGGACAAAGGGCGAAAGCCUGAUCCAGCCAUGCCGCGUGCAGGAUGAAGGCCUUCGGGUUGUAAACUGCUUUUGUACGGAACGAAAAGCCUCUUUCUAAUAAAGAGGGGUCAUGACGGUACCGUAAGAAUAAGCACCGGCUAACUACGUG